GGGUGACGAGCGGCGGACGGGUGAGUAAUGUCUGGGAAACUGCCUGAUGGAGGGGGAUAACUACUGGAAACGGUAGCUAAUACCGCAUAACGUCGCAAGACCAAAGAGGGGGACCUUCGGGCCUCUUGCCAUCAGAUGUGCCCAGAUGGGAUUAGCUAGUAGGUGGGGUAACGGCUCACCUAGGCGACGAUCCCUAGCUGGUCUGAGAGGAUGACCAGCCACACUGGAACUGAGACACGGUCCAGACUCCUACGGGAGGCAGCAGUGGGGAAUAUUGCACAAUGGGCGCAAGCCUGAUGCAGCCAUGCCGCGUGUAUGAAGAAGGCCUUCGGGUUGUAAAGUACUUUCAGCGAGGAGGAAGGCAUUGUGGUUAAUAACCGCAGUGAUUGACGUUACUCGCAGAAGAAGCACCGGCUAACUCCGUGCCAGCAGCCGCGGUAAUACGGAGGGUGCAAGCGUUAAUCGGAAUUACUGGGCGUAAAGCGCACGCAGGCGGUCUGUCAAGUCGGAUGUGAAAUCCCCGGGCUCAACCUGGGAACUGCAUUCGAAACUGGCAGGCUAGAGUCUUGUAGAGGGGGGUAG
rnacentral:rRNA from 1 species